rnacentral:rRNA from 1 species
AGUGAACGCUGGCGGUAUGCCUAACACAUGCAAGUCGAACGGCAGCACAGUAAGAGCUUGCUCUUACGGGUGGCGAGUGGCGGACGGGUGAGGAAUACAUCGGAAUCUACUUUUUCGUGGGGGAUAACGUAGGGAAACUUACGCUAAUACCGCAUACUACCUACGGGUGAAAGCAGGGGAUCUUCGGACCUUUCGCGAUUGAAUGAGCCGAUGUCGGAUUAGCUAGUUGGCGGGGUAAAGGCCCACCAAGGCGACGAUCCGUAGCUGGUCUGAGAGGAUGAUCAGACACACUGGAACUGAGACACGGUCCAGACUCCUACGGGAGGCAGCAGUGGGGAAUAUUGGACAAUGGGCGCAAGCCUGAUCCAGCCAUACCGCGUGGGUGAAGAAGGCCUUCGGGUUGUAAAGCCCUGUUGUUGGGAAAGAAAAGCAGCAGGUUAAUACCCCGCUGUUCUGACGGUACCCAAAGAAUAAGCACCGGCUAACUUCGUG